UGGCAAUUGAAAGGAUAGAGACUGAAGAGAUAGGAAGACUUUUCCCUACGCAUUUUAUUAUACUUUUUAAAAAAAUUCAGAAUGGGUUUUGCUUUACUGCCCAGGCUGACCCAGAAUUCCUGGGCUGGAGUGAUCUUCCUGCCUUGGCCUCUAGAGUAGCUGGGACUGCCGAUGGGAUUCCACAGUGCCACACUGUCAGGCUUUCUGAUGUUUGAAUCACAUUAGUGUAGGCUUCUCUCACUGUUGAACCUUUUUUUGUUUUUUUCUGAACUUUUUACUAACCGAAUUACUAAUUCCAAAUUCUCAGGAACAAACAGAUUUGCUUAAAAAUUAACAUCCCUCCCUAUCAGAAUAUUUUGUACCUAGUACUCAAACAAACAAGGCUUUAUAACACGAAACAGAUGUUACUAAGACCGAAAGUCUCCCCUUGCCGGGGAGUGUGUGGCUCUGUACAAUCCUGACCUCCUGCCAGGCCCUACCUCCUGGGCCUGUCCCGCCUCAUCUCCCUUUUCUGGAACCGAAGCCCCAAGGACGGCGGGCCUUUGCUCUCCCCAUCCACACGGGCUGGUGGCCACAGCCGCUGGAGACAGCGGCACCUGACAGCCUCCUUCCCGGGGGGCACUCAGCGCGGGUGGAUGACCCCUUGCUGGGUCUCCCUCUGAGCAGGACGGGGGACAGAAGUGGUCCCAGGAGAUCGCGCAGGGGCUGCUCCCAGCCCUGGCCUCGGCCUCAACCCCCACCCCUGUGGUCCUCUAAGAACCUUCCCCGCGGUCCCCGCCCCGUCCCGUCCCACCCUCUGCUCUGCAAGUGCUGGGUGCUGCCCCGCCCGCUCCAACCUCCUUCUCCCCGGCGCUGGUCGGGUCGGUCUGGAGGGCCAGGUCUGACCGUGAGGCGUUGGCGUUGGCCGGACUGGCUGCGCCGGACGUGGGGCCGCCUCCAUCCAGUCAAGGCGGAGCCGGCAGCCAGCGGCCAGGGGCUGGAGGCCCAGGCGCUUCCAGCCAUGGGCAGGGGCUCGCUGAGAGCUCCGGGAUUGGCGGUGCCGCGGUGGCUGCUGUCACUACUGCUGCUGUCUCGGGGGCCAGUGUCUGGCGCUUGGUUGCUUCCAGAUCUCGACACUAGACUCAGGCCUGGUGGCCUUGGAAGCUGAAGGCCAGGAGUUCCUGCUUGAGCUGGAGAAGAACCAGUAAGUACCAGGCUGUGGUGUGGCUGAAGUCAAGAAGAACUGAUGUGGAUCCCUGAGCAGGCUGCUGGCUGCUGGUUACACAGAAACCCACUAUAGCCAAGAUGGCCAGCCAGUGGUGCUGGUCCCCAACCACAUGGGCGAGACACUUCUGUGGGCUCUGAGGACAGGGUGAGGGUGCUGGGGAUGGCACCUGGGAUAGCUCCUCACGAUCCCUACCCCAACCCUCCAACUCCGUUCCUAGGGGAAGUUGGAGCCACCCCUCCCCUCCCCUUCCUGCUCCCGUUCCCUCUUGGCUUCUGCCCUGGCUGAGGUUUGGGCUCAGGUUCCUUCCUCUCCAGGACCACUGUCACUACCACGGAGAGUGAGGGGCUUCCCCAACUCUUCGGUUAUGCUCAGCACCUGCUCUGGGAUGAGGGGCUUGAUCAGGCUCAACAGCAAUGCCAGCUAUUACCUGCAGCCCCUGGCCACCUGGAGACCCAGAGGACCUCUCAACCCACAGGACUUUCCGGAUGGAGAGGCUGCUCACCUGGAAAGGGACCUGCCAGCUACAGUGACCCCCGAGGACAAAGGGGGCAUGGCCAGGCUUCGUCCUGCCCCUCAGAGCAGGGAGAGGCGAGAAGCCCCCAGGGGCCAGAGGUACCUGGAGCUAUACGUAGUAGCCGACCACCCCCUGUACUUGACCCAGCACCGGAACUUGAACCAUACCAAAGAGCGCGUCUCCUGGAGGUUGCCAGUUAUGCAGACCAGAUCCUCAGGACGCUGGACAUCCAGGUGGUGCUGACAGGCCUGGAAGUGUGGACAGAGCAAGACCACAGCCGCGUCACACCCACGCCUGGCAACGCCACGCUCUGGGACUUCCUGAAGUGGCGCGGGGGCUGUGGGCACGGCUGGCCGCACGACUCGCGCGCAGCUACUCACGGGCUGCACCUUCCGGGGCGCCACUGUGGGCCUGGCGCCCGUCGAGGGCAUGUGUCGCGCAGAGAGGCUCGGGCGGUGUGAGCACGGACCACUCGGAGCUCCCCACCGGCGCUGCGGCCACCAUGGCCCAUGAGAUCGCCACAGCCUGGGCCUCAGCCACGACCUCGAUGGCUGCUGCGUGGAGGUCGCGGCAGAGCAAGGCGGCUGCAUCAUGGCCGCCGCCACGGGUACUCGCGGGCUAGGGCGGGGCCUAGGCUUAUUCCUCUGCGUGCUGCUUCACGUUAUCCCUCAGUUUCUCUUUUGUAAAAUGGUGGUGGUGACAACCACUUGUCCUCAUGGUUGUUUAUGAGGCCUCAGUGGAAGAAACGCAGGUAAAGUGGAUUCUCACGAGUAUGAAGAUUUUGAGAAAAACCUAGCAAGGUUGCUCCAACGCCGGAGCAAACGGCACGCGUAGGGCUGCGGUGUGGCUAACGCCAGGCCUGAGAAUCCAGGCUGAGUGCGGGCUGGGGUGUCCUGCGCUCCCGACGCCUCCCCCCCGCCCCUAGGCACCCGUUCCCGCGCCUCUUCAGCGCCUGCAGCCGCCGCCAACUGCGGGCCUUCUUCCGCAAGGGGGGCGGCGCGUGCCUCUACAACGCCCCAGACCCCGGGCUUCAGAUCCCGCCCACGCGCUGCGGGAACGGCUUCGUGGAAGCGGGCGAGGAGUGCGACUGCGGCUCUGAGCAGGUCAGGUCCGCCUGCCCGACCUCUGGGGACCGAGCCUGGCCCUCCUCCAGCGGUCAGGGGCGCGGUGCCCGCAUCUGUUCCAGUUUCACUUUUCUGGCCCCAGAAGUGCCCAGACCCCUGUUGCUUCGCCCACAACUGCUCGUUACAUGCGGGGGCCCAGUGUGCCCACGGGGACUGCUGCGCGCGCUGCCUGGUGAGGGCGGGUUGGUCCUGGUUGGUUGGCGCCCCCUGGUCCUCUAUGAGCGGGUCGCCUGGCCCUCGCGCCGGCUCCCCAUCUCUGAACAAGCUUGGCUCAGAUCUGUCACUGUCCAUUGACUCAACCGGGCCCCUGCGCAGCUGAAGCCAGCUGGCUCGCCGUGCCGCCAGGCUGCAGGAGACUGUGACCUCCCUGAGUUCUGCACUGGCUCUUCCCCCACUGUCCCCCGGAUGUUUACCUGCUGGACGGCUUGCCCUGCGCGGGAGGCCAAGGCUACUGCCUGGAUGGCGCGUGUCCCACGCUGGAGCAGCAGUGCGCACAGCUCUGGGGGCCUGGUGAGAGCGUGCCCUAGCAUCUGGCCCCUCCUCGGGUCUGCCCUUUCCUCCCGUAGGCAGGAUCUGCUGAGGAACUGAGGCUCUCAGAGCGUGGACCGGGCUGGGGCUUCGGCUGCGCUGCCCCAGUGCCCCUCUUUGAUCUUCAGGCUCCCGCCCAGCCCCCGAGGCCUGUUUCCAGCUGGUGAACCCCGCGGGAGACGCCACUGGGAAUUGCGGCCAGGAUGGCUCUGGCCGCUUCCUGCCUUGUGCUCAGAGGGACACUCAGUGCGGGAAGCUGCAGUGCCAGGGCGGGGAGCCCAGCCCCCUAGUGCCACACAUCUUGCCUGUGGAGUCCACACUUCACUUAGACGGCCACCAGGUGGCUUGUCGUGCAGCUCUGGUGAUCCCCGAUGCCCAGCUGGACUUGCUGGACUUGGGCCUGGUAGAGCCCGGCACCCAGUGUGGUCCUAGAAUGGUGUGCCAGGACAGGCGCUGCCAGAACACUUCCUCCCAGGAGCUGGAGCGCUGCCUAACUACCUGCCACAACCAUGGGGUUUGCAAUAGCAACCAUAACUGCCACUGCUCUCCAGGCUGGGCUCCACCCUUCUGUGACAAGCCGGGUUCGGUGGCAGUGUGGACAGUGGCCCAGUGCACCCUGAAAAUGGCGACACGUUCCUUCUGGCAGUGCUCUUCAGCUUCCCUGCUCCCUCUGCUCCCCUGGGGUGGGCCUGGCCUGGUGCUACUCCGGCUCCUGGGCUCCACCUCCAGCGAUGCCCCGGGGCUAUAGGAGAGACCAGGAAUGCAGUGGGCCCAAAGAUGGCCCUCUCAGGAACCAUAGCCUGGGUGGCAUUUACCUUGCGCAGUUGGGGUCCGUGGCCAUUGGAGACCCCCAGCCCCUGGCCACUGAUGUCCGCAUCUCAGGCAUCUGGGUUUGGGUUAAAAUGGAAAUGAGACAUCACUUCUUGGAGACCAGGAUGCUAGAAGUCCCUUGGGGCAAGUAUGGGGGAAGUUGUGGUUUUUCCUGGGUCUUGGGUCAUUACUGAAGGGAACAAGGGGUCCCUGCCACAUGAUUUGCAACCUGGGGCCCCAGCCCUUUCUUCUGCAUUAGAAUCUCAGCAGGUCAAGUCUAGACACCAAGAUCCUAUCUGUGGGGGAAAGGUGGCUCCUGAGAUGAGUAGACAGGUGACCACUGACAGCCAUUCCAGGAACUUGGAUCCCAAGGACAGACACAGCGAGUCAACUGAUCUCCUGCACCUUCUGAAGCUUGGAGGUUUCUUCCUGCCUUGUCAAGGAGCUCCAGGACCCAAGCUUCAUCAGAAGUUGCUUGAUGUUGUCCCUGCUCUUGAGGGCUGGGGCAUGCUGGGUACAGCUUCCAGCCCAAGAAUCCAUCCACAAAGGAUUGAAGGUCCCAUAGUCCCCAACCCCCAGCAGGGGAGGCCUCUGUCCUGGGAGCCUGGCUAUGUCUGCUUUGUGCACUUUCCCUCCAUGCAGCUCUCUGGAGGGCAGGGACUCCUGAGACUCAACAUUUCUGAUGGAGCCCACAUUUCCUGGAGCCUGGCCCUUGCAAACAAGCAAGCAAACAAAAUCUUUGAUAUCUCCUUUCUGGUCUCCUCCUACCCGUCCUGUAUCCGGGAAGCUUCUGUAGCCCCUACCCUGACUCCCAGUUCUCCAUCUGAGGUUGUAGAGGGUGUGGCCUUUUGCAGCCCUCUUCACUUGGACUUUACUCAGUCCUCCAUUCUGUAGGAGAGGCCUGAGGAGUCAGGUCAGGAAAGACAGUGUAGAGUCAGAAGAAAGGCAGGCUUCCUGGUGCCUCUGUGAAUCUUUUCUGUUGUAAAUUCAACCCUUGGGGUGUCCUGAGGGGCCACUUGGAGUGAUGUGGUGGGUGGAACCUCCAGUGGUAGCCAGGACACCUGGAUUCAGGAGGGUGUUGCCCAGGUUGAAUUAUCCCUUUGCUUGUCCCUCCUGUCCCUUUGAACAUUCUUGUCUCCUGUUGCUCAUGCCAGAGUUGCUGAGUGAUCUGUAUUAGGCAGCUGUUGCUUUGUAACAAAACCACCUCCAAAACUGAGUUGCUUAAAACAACAGGCAGUACAAUCAUACUUCUGAGGGUGUGAAGAAUUGGAGAAUCUUUGCUGUCUACCAUUGGGAUCCAGAGAAGCGGCAGCCCCAGCUCAUCUAUAGAUUCGUCAUGGUUCCAAUAAACAUCCCAAGACAGUUUUGGUUUUUUGGUGGGGCGGGGGGCUUGACAAACUGCUCCAAAAAUGGACAUGGAACAGCAAAAAUCCAGGAAAAACCAAAAGAAAUUAAAUUAAGAAAAAAGGCCGGGGAUUUAGUUCAGUGGUUCCACCACCUGCCUCUCAAGUGCAAGGACCCAAGUUUGAUCCCAGUACCAAAAAAAUAAAAUAAAUUAAGAAUAAAAUAAGGAACAUUUGGAUGAUGGUAUCAAGAUUUAUUGUAAACUUCUAGUACAGCCAACAGUGAGGGCCACUGUUACUUCAUUACUUACCCUCAAUGCCCAAGCACGAGGGACUAAAUGCAACUACUUUAUGAUGCCACUUCUGUCUCACGGGUACCUGUGGGAUUUUAGUUUAGUGAGAACCCAGAGAAGUUAAGGCCUCUGUGAAAGAAGGUGCUGCUCAGUUCCCUGGAGAGGGAGG
rnacentral:lncRNA from 1 species